AACGAACGCUGGCGGCAUGCCUAACACAUGCAAGUCGAACGAAGCCUUCGGGCUUAGUGGCGCACGGGUGCGUAACGCGUGGGAAUCUGCCCUUUGGUUCGGAAUAACAGUUGGAAACGACUGCUAAUACCGGAUGAUGACGAAAGUCCAAAGAUUUAUCGCCAGAGGAUGAGCCCGCGUAGGAUUAGCUAGUUGGUGUGGUAAAGGCGCACCAAGGCGACGAUCCUUAGCUGGUCCGAGAGGAUGAUCAGCCACACUGGGACUGAGACACGGCCCAGACUCCUACGGGAGGCAGCAGUGGGGAAUAUUGGACAAUGGGCGAAAGCCUGAUCCAGCAAUGCCGCGUGGGUGAUGAAGGCCCUAGGGUUGUAAAGCUCUUUUGCCCGGGAUGAUAAUGACAGUACCGGGAGAAUAAGCCCCGGCUAACUCCGUGCCAGCAGCCGCAGUAA
rnacentral:rRNA from 1 species